rnacentral:rRNA from 1 species
UACGGAGGGUGCAAGCGUUAAUCGGAAUUAUUGGGCGUAAAGCGCGCGCAGGCGGUUUCUUAAGUCUGAUGUGAAAGCCCACGGCUCAACCGUGGAGGGUCAUUGGAAACUGGGGAACUUGAGUGCAGAAGAGAAAAGCGGAAUUCCACGUGUAGCGGUGAAAUGCGUAGAGAUGUGGAGGAACACCAGUGGCGAAGGCGGCUUUUUGGUCUGUAACUGACGCUGAGGCGCGAAAGCGUGGGGAGCAAACAGG